ensembl:lncRNA
AUGUCAAUCACACCCAGCUCAGUCAUUUUAAGAUGGUUAUCAUUCCUUUCCCAACCUGCGGAUGGGACCAAAGGGCCUCUGAUAAUCCACUCUGCCCAGAAUCCCCACGCUCCCCCGGGCAGACAGAGAGGCUGUCUGGUCCUGUCCCACCAAAUUACUAAUAAUAACACCCAAGGUUGGUUGUUGCAGCAGGCAUGGAGCUGGCACCUUAUCUGCUGUCUGGAUAGAGCGGAGCGCAUGUGACCUUCUCCAACAGGAAACUGCAGUUUAGAGACAGAAAAACAUCAAACGGAGCUUUAACAUUCUCAGACGGUUGUGCAGAAUUAACUGGGGAUUGUGCAAGUGAGACUAGAUUGUGUUUGCCGACUUGUUCUCAAGGCUAGUGUCAUUACAGGCAGAUUCACUUUAUCUGAUAAUAAUCUAAAUUAGUGGUUCAGGGUCUGGUGAAACAGAAGACGACAGUGGACACAGAUGUUUUGAAGUCUUAUUUUCCUGUGUCAGGUGCGCUAGAGGUUAUUUAUUUGUGAUGAGAUGAAGAUACAUUGGUUGACAUUUAUCAGACAUGUUUAAUUCAAAGAUUUUCUCAGAGGUGCACCUGUGGUUCAGUCACUUGCUUAAGGCCAUAGCGAUAAGCAGUAGACAAUGGUAUAUGAUUUGAUUUAAUGCAAUCAGGACAGAAAUUUCCAAACCAUAUGCUCUACAAGAAGAAAGAUUAAAAUUCAUGGAAUUGACCCCAGUUACAAAUCAAUCACUUCUAAUGGCUAAAAACAAGUUACACCCUAAAAUUUGAAGUUGUAAAUAGUGAUCAUUGGAGUGUGUUUUACAAUGUAAUUAUUGUGAAAUUUACUAGCAAUUAUGACAGUCAGUUGUGAGUUUAUAUCUCAAAAUUAUGACUCUUCUUCUCAGAAUUGCAUGAUUUUCUGAGUUUGUCUGACAAUGUUGAGUUUACAUCUCACAAUUCUAAGAAAAAAGUCAGAAUUGUGAGAUUUUAAACAAACUUGCAAAUAAAAAGUUUUGUAAGAUAAAAACA